GACGAACGCUGGCGGCGUGCUUAACACAUGCAAGUCGAACGGAAAGGCCCUGCUUUUGUGGGGUGCUCGAGUGGCGAACGGGUGAGUAACACGUGAGUAACCUGCCCUUGACUUUGGGAUAACUUCAGGAAACUGGGGCUAAUACCGGAUAGGAGCUCCUGCUGCAUGGUGGGGGCUGGAAAGUUUCGGUGGUUGGGGAUGGAAUCGCGGCUUAUCAGCUUGUUGGUGGGGUAGUGGCUUACCAAGGCUUUGACGGGUAGCCGGCCUGAGAGGGUGACCGGCCAAAUUGGGACUGAGAUACGGCCCAGACUCCUACGGGAGGCAGGAGUGGGGAAUAUUGCACAAGGGGCGGAAGCCUGAUGCAGCAACGCCGCGUGCGGGAUGACGGCCUUCGGGUUGUAAACCGCUUUCGCCUGUGACGAAGCGUGAGUGACGGUAAUGGGUAAAGAAGCACCGGCUAACUACGUG
rnacentral:rRNA from 1 species